UAAUAAAAUGUAAUAACACAGACGCAUAUUAUUUAUUGUUAAAUUUCAAGGGACUCACUACUUGAUUGAUGUUAAAGUGUAGUUAUGCAUAGUUAGACAGUAGUUUGGGUGGCUGUUAUUACUAGUACGUGUUUAAGGUCGGCCACGGUGAUUUAUUUCUGCUGAUAUAGUACGUGGUGAAGUCAAAGCAAACAAUGAAUAGCGGGGAUGUGGACUUCUCCAAGCAAUUGCCGACUAUAGAAAGAAUACAAGUGUACGGAAUAAGAUGGAUAGUGUUAGGAAUAUUUGUCUUCUAUUCUGCUGUAAAUGCCAUGCAAUGGAUACAAUUUUCGAUUAUAAACGAUGUGGUGGUUAAAUACUAUGGGAUAUCUUCAAUGUGGGUAGAUUGGACUUCCAUAAUAUAUAUGGUUUUAUACGUUCCGUUUGUUUUUCCUGCCAGUUAUUUAUUAGAAAAAUUGGGGCUGCGAAAAUUUGUGAUAAUAGGUAUGUUACUAACAUGCAUAGGCUCGUGGAUUAAAGUAGGUGCAGUGCAUCCAGAUCGUUUUUAUAUAGCUUUUAUUGGACAAACAGUUGCUGGUUUCGCCCAAAUUUUUAUACUGUCCGUACCUGCUAGAUUAGCCGCUGUUUGGUUUGGGCCUUCCCAAGUAUCUUCAGCUUGCAGUAUAGGAGUUUUUGGAAAUCAGUUGGGUGUUGCGUUAGGCUUCCUAUUACCUCCAAUAUUUGUAAGUGCUGAUUCAACUAUUGACCAAAUGACACAUGAUUUUUAUGUUAUGUUCAUUUCUGUCGGUGCGUUCACCACACUACUUCUUGUGAUUAUUAUUUUGUUUUUUAAAGAUAAACCACCGACUCCACCAUCACAUGCUGCUCUUCAACAAGAAUCAGAAACGAUCGAUUUUAUGAAUUCCUUAAAAGAUUUGUGUAAAAAUAAAUCUUUUGUGUUUUUGUUGGUGGCUUACGGAAUAAACGUUGGAGUAUUUUACGCAAUCUCUACUCUUCUUAAUCAGAUUGUAUUACUAUAUUAUCCAGGAGCAAGUGCAGACGCUGGCCGAAUUGGACUUGUCAUUGUGGUAGCUGGUAUGUUAGGAUCUGUUUGUUGUGGCAUUAUACUUGACAAAUAUCAUAAAUUCAAGGAAACCACAUUGGUAGUAUAUGGAUUUUCUCUUGUUGGUAUGGUCAUAUUUACCUUUACUAUAUCUAAAGGAAUUUAUGUUGUGUACAUAAUAUCUGGACUUCUUGGACGAGUUUUCUAACGAACGUCAGAGGCUUCUCAUCAACCAAAGUGAAGAUAUAAACUAUACCGAGGAGAUUUAGCUUCUGUCAUUGUCUAUGCACUGUUUAUAGAUAAUAUGAAGACCUAUACCUAGUGUAAAAUUGUGUAUAAUGUUUUAUACAAAGAAAAGCAGCACACAAGAUGAAUUUAUAUUAUAUAUAUUUAUAUUUAUUUAUAUAUAAUUUAUAUAUAGGUACAU
rnacentral:misc_RNA from 1 species